rnacentral:rRNA from 1 species
GUCUAUGGCCGUACUACCCUGAAUGCGCCUGAUCUCCUCUGAUUUUGGAAGCUAAGCAGGGUCGGGCCUGGUUAGCACUUGGAUGGGAGAUAUAUGGAUUAUUUUAGCACACAAUAUAUU